rnacentral:rRNA from 1 species
UCCUCAUGCCAGUGAGAAAUGCCCUAAAACAGUAUAAACGGAGCAGGUAUCAGGCACAAUUACUAGCCCAAGACACCAGGCUUUGCCACACCCACACGGGUCAUCAGCAGUGAUAAACAUUAAGCAAUGAGCGAUAUAUACCAAACCACUUUAAAGCUUGACUUAGUUAUGAUUAAAUAGGGCCGGUAAACCUCGUGCCAGCCACCGCGGUUAUACGAGGGGCCCAAAGUAGCAGAUUCGGCGUAAAUAGUGGUUAGAAUUCAUACCAACACAUUAAAAACUAAACCACAUCCUAACCGUAAAACACAGGAUAUAUGAAAUCACACAUUUUUAAUAAGAGGUAAUUUGACCCACGAAAACUAAGAAACAAACUAGGAUUAGAUACCCUACUAUGCUUAGUCGUUAAUAUGAUAUUACACCACCAAAAUAUCCGCCAGAAAAUUACGAGCGAAAAGCUUAAAACUCAAAGGACUUGGCGGUGCUCCAUACCGACUUAGAGGAGCCUGUCCUAUAAUCGAUACCCCACGAUAAACCAAACCAAUCUUUGCCUGUUCAGCCUAUAUACCGCCGUCGCCAACCUACCUCAUGAGAGAAAAGCAGUAAGUACAAAAGUUCUAACAACUAAAACGUCAGGUCAAGGUGUAGCUAAUAGAAUGGAAGAGAUGGGCUACAUUUUUUAAGAUAAAACAUACGGCAUGGUACUAUGAAAUUUCUACCUGAAGGAGGAUUUAAUAGUAAAAAUAACAAGAAAGUUAAUUUUAAACACG